rnacentral:rRNA from 1 species
UGGGGAAUCUUGGACAAUGGGCGCAAGCCUGAUCCAGCCAUGCCGCGUGAGUGAUGAAGGCCCUAGGGUUGUAAAACUCUUUCGUGGGGGACGAUAAUGACGGUACCCCAAGAAGAAGCUCCGGCUAACUUCGUGCCAGCAGCCGCGGUAAUACGAAGGGGGCUAGCGUUGUUCGGAUUUACUGGGCGUAAAGCGCGUGUAGGCGGGCUGGAAAGUUGGGGGUGAAAUCCCGAGGCUCAACCUCGGAACUGCCUCCAAAACUUCCAGCCUGGACUCAAGUAGAGGCAAGUGGAAUUGCGAGUGUAGAGGUGAAAUUCGUAGAUAUUCGCAGGAACACCAGUGGCGAAGGCGACUUGCUGGACUUGUAGUGACGCUGAGACGCGAAAGCGUGGGGAGCAAACAGGAUUAGAUACCCUAGUAGUCCCUGAGCGGGCUGGCAAGGCGCAU